UACAGAGGGGGCAAGCGUUGUUCGGAAUUACUGGGCGUAAAGGGCGCGUAGGCGGCCUUCUAAGUCGAACGUGAAAUCCCCGGGCUUAACCCGGGAACUGCGUCCGAGACUGAAAGGCUCGAAUCCGGGAGAGGGAUGUGGAAUUCCAGGUGUAGCGGUGAAAUGCGUAGAUAUCUGGAGGAACAUCGGUGGCGAAAGCGGCGUCCUGGACCGGUAUUGACGCUGAGGCGCGAAAGCCAGGGGAGCAAACGGG
rnacentral:rRNA from 1 species